UUAAGCCAUGCAUGUCUAAGUACAGGCCGAACUAAGGCGAAACCGCGAAUGGCUCAUUAAAUCAGUUAUGGUUCAUUGGAUCUUACCCAUACUACUUGGAUACCUGUGGUAAUUCUAGAGCUAAUACAUGCAACUCAGCUUCUUUGUGCUGAGCGCACGGUCCUCGCACCGGCGCCGUAUCUUUCAAGUGUCUGCCUUAUCAGCUGUCGAUUGUAGGUUAUGCGCCUACAAUGGCUAUAACGGGUAACGGGGAAUCAGGGUUCGAUUCCGGAGAAGCCUGAGAAACGGCUACCACAUCUAAGGAAGGCAGCAGGCACGCAAAUUACCCACUCCCGGCCCGGGGAGGUAGUGACGAAAAAUAACGAUGCGAGACUCAUCCGAGGCCUCGCAAUCGGAAUGAGUACACUUUAAAUCCUUUAACGAGGAUCUAUUGGAGGGCAAGUCUGGUGCCAGCAGCCGCGGUAAUUCCAGCUCCAAUAGCGUAUAUUAAAGUUGUUGUGGUUAAAAAGCUCGUAGUUGGAUCUCAGUUCCUGACCGACGGUUC
rnacentral:rRNA from 1 species